GAUCCCUACCAUGGAGAAGACCAUCGAAGAUCCCCCCACAUCAGCUGUCUUGCUGGAUCACUGUCAUUUCUCUCAGGUCAUCUUUAACAGUGUGGAGAAGUUCUACAUCCCUGGAGGGGACGUCACAUGUCGUUAUACCUUCACCCAGAAUUUCAUCCCUCGUCAAAAGGAUUGGAUUGGCAUCUUUAGAGUGGGAUGGAAGACAGUCCGUGAGUAUUACACCUUCAUGUGGGUUACUUUGCCCAUUGACCUAAACAACAAAUCAGCUAAACAGCAGGAAGUCCAAUUCAAAGCUUACUACCUGCCCAAGGAUGAUGAGUAUUACCAGUUCUGCUAUGUGGAUCAGGAUGGCGUGGUCCGGGGAGCAAGUAUUCCUUUCCAGUUCCGUCCAGAAAAUGAGGAAGACAUCCUGGUUGUUACCACUCAGGGAGAGGUAGAAGAGAUUGAGCAGCACAACAAGGAGCUUUGCAAAGAAAACCAGGAGCUGAAGGAUAGCUGUGUCAGCCUCCAGAAGCAGAACUCAGACAUGCAGGCUGAGCUCCAAAAGAAGCAGGAGGAGCUAGAAACCCUACAGAGCAUCAAUAAGAAGUUGGAACUGAAAGUGAAAGAACAGAAGGACUAUUGGGAGACAGAGUUGCUUCAACUGAAAGAACAAAACCAGAAGAUGUCCUCAGAAAAUGAGAAGAUGGGAAUCAGAGUGGAUCAGCUUCAGGCCCAGUUGUCAACUCAAGAGAAAGAAAUGGAGAAGCUUGUUCAGGGAGAUCAAGAUAAGACAGAGCAGUUAGAGCACCUGAAAAAGGAAAAUGGCCACCUCUUUCUCAGUUUAACUGAACAGAGGAAGGACCAGAAGAAGCUCGAGCAGACAGUGGAGGAAAUGAAGCAGAAUGAAACUACGGCAAUGAAGAAACAACAGGAAUUAAUGGAGCCUAGGAACAAGAAAGCGGCACUAACUGUGGAGGAGCAGUUAGCACGAGAGGUGGAACGCCUUAAGGCAAAGGUAGAGGCCGGGAAAGCCUGUUUCUUAGAGAAGUACAAAGAGUGUCAACGACUUCACAAACAGAUCAGGCAACUCAGGGCGGCUGCACUGGAAGUGAAGCAGGACCAGAAGAGCCAGCAGGAGCCAAUGGGGAUGGGAAGCAAGGAGCCUGCAGUCAGCACUGUCACCGGGAUGAAAACUUUGACCUGUCAAGAAGACUGAGUGAGAAGAAAAUGAUAUAUAAUGCUCUGCAGAGAGAGAAAGAGAGAUUGGAAGGAGAAAAUGAUGAGCAGAAGUGGUGGUCUGUACCAGUGCUGGACCCAUGCUUUUGAAGAGGGAGAACAGCAGAUUGCUCAGUUACAUGGGUCUGGAUUUUAAUUCUUUGCCGUAUCAAGUACCUACUUCAGAUGAAGGAGGCGCAGGACAAAAUCCAGGACUUGUCUAUGGAAACCCGUAUUCUGGUAUCCAAGAAAGUUCUUCCCCCAGCCAGCUCUCCAUCAAGAAAUGCCCUAUCUGCAAAGCAGAUGAUAUUUGUGAUCACACCUUGGAGCAACAGCAGAUGCAGGCCCUUUGUUUGAAUUGUCCAAUUUGUGACAAGAUCUUCCCAGCUACAGAGAAGCAGAUCUUUGAAGACCAUGUGUUCUGCCACUCUCUCUGAGUGUCCCAACCUCCUGGAUGUAUACAGAGAUUUUAUAGAGUAGAACCUGUAGCUUCUGCCAUGAGUUAUAUGAGUCUAGAUCCUGCCUAACCCGAAAUUAUUAGGGAUUUACUCAGCCCUGCUGCCACUAACAGCGGAGUUGUGUCACUGAUCUGAAGGUCACUGUUAAGGACUUCUGCUGCCAUCCUUGUGGGUUGCUACCUUUAAGUCACAUAACUCUAGCUGUAUCAUCCUCUCACCUAUCAUUCUUCCGAGGGUCUCAGUACAAGGGCCCUGGGAUGGAGCCAACCUGGGUAUUCACAACAGGCCUGACUUGAUACUAAGUGAUUGGUUUUCCUAGUUGUCCCACUGCCAUUCAAAGUCAGCCCUUGAGUGUAUUUGUUCUCAGUCCUAACCCUGGGGCCAGAGAUUGGUCCGAGGUUGAGAAUUCUUCCACCUCAUCCUCGGUGUUGCUUUCUCCAAAUGAUUGCGUUAGACUAGCCAAAAAUGCCAUGGCAAAGAGCUCAGAAGUCCAGUUUGGAUACCAAAGGUUUCUCAUGUUAAUUUCUCAGCCCCCAAAGAAGCAUCUUACUCCUGAACCUUAGACAGGAAGUAUUAUUUCAGUCACAGGAAGCUUUUCUGGGUACCUCUGGUUAGCACUUUCUACUCUCUGAUAUUUCCUAUGUACAUAGCUUGUAUUGUUGUAAAUCCUUUCUUAAUGGUUAAAUACGGAUUGUUAGCAACUCUGGAUUUGCAGUUUUCUGAAUAGGUGAGUUUUGAAUAUGGAUAAGUCAGAAUAAUGAGACAACUUGUUAAUCUCUUUAAUACUAAAAAUAAAUUACUCUUCUAUUUCAGGGACUUAGGUAAUUUAAAGUAAACCUUCAGUUUAUAGUCUUUUAUUUUGAAGCUCAUGGGAAAACUGUGAUCAAAAGGACUAUGGGAAGGACAGACCCCACGAAUGAUUUCUCUUCACCUUUCUUAAGUAUUAAACAAAAAAGAGUGUCCUAGUGUCCUGGCAGUUAUCUUGAGGUGGGGAAGGAGGUGAUGAAACAUUAAUUUGUGAAAUCCAAGGCCCUGGCUUCUUUUUUUUUUUUUUUGAAACAGAGUCUCGCUCUGUUACCCAGGCUGGAGUGCAGUGGCGCGGUUAGCUCACUACAGCCUCCACCUCCCAGGUUCAAGCGAUUCUCAUGCCUUAGCUUCCCAAGUAACUGGGAUUACAGGUGUGUGCCACCAUGCCCAGCUAAUUUUUGUAUUUUUAGUGGAGACAGGGUUUCACUAUGUUGGCCAGGCUGGUCUCAAACUCCUGGCCUCAUGUGGUCCGUCCACUUCAGCCCUUCAAAAUGCUGGGAUUACAAGCGUGAGCCACAUGCCCAGCCUGAGGCCCUGACUUCUUGCUGUAACUUUUCAUGCAUUUUUUUUUUAAAGGAGCAGUGUGGAUUUUGGCACCCUUUGUGAACUAAGUUCAAUACCCUCUAUCCACAUUUGCCUAAUUGAACUAUAAGAAAGCAAUAAUUCCAUUUUCUGUCCCCUCAAGGACUGAACAAAUGGAAAUAACUCCCAGGAAGUAUCAGCUGGUCACUACAGAGACUUGUACAAAAACUUUUGAAUGAUGUGAAACACGUUGUCAUGAAUAAGGGUUGAGCCAACUAUAGCCCUGUGUUCCUACUGGGCUUUCCCCAACAUGGUUGGGAGUUAUGCCCUAGACUAACUGUAUUGUCCUAGUCACAGCUCCUUGCUUUGAUUUCAUCCUUGAUAAAAUGAAGAUGAAACUUAUACUACUUCUCCAGGCCUUUUGCUGCCUUAAGAAUGAGACCUGACAUUAACACUAACCCUAGAAUAGAAAUAUAUAAUAGGGAGAUGGUAAUAAAGGAGUUUUUCUGGCA